GACAAACGCUGGCGGCGUGCUUAACACAUGCAAGUCAACGGGGUGCCAUAGAAUGAGACUUUGGUCAAUUUCUUUGGUUACUUAGUGGCGGACGGGUGAGUAACACGUGAGUAACCUGCCCUUGAGUGGGGAAUAACACACCGAAAGGUGUGCUAAUACCGCAUAACAUAACGAAGCCGCAUGACUUUGUUAUCAAAGAUUUAUUGCUGAGAGAUGGCCUCGCGUCUGAUUAGCUAGUUGGUGGGGUAACGGCCCACCAAGGCGACGAUCAGUAGCCGGUCUGAGAGGAUGAACGGCCACAUUGGGACUGAGAUACGGCCCAGACUCCUACGGGAGGCAGCAGUGGGGAAUAUUGGGCAAUGGGGGAAACCCUGACCCAGCAACGCCGCGUGAAGGAAGAAGGCCUUCGGGUUGUAAACUUCUUUUAGUAGGGACGAAUACGUGACGGUACCUACAGAAAAAGCAACGGCUAACUACGUG
rnacentral:rRNA from 1 species